GUGGCUAUGGUGAAGUGGUCAACACGGCGGAUUGUGGCUCCGUUAUUCGAGGGUUCGAAUCCCUCUAGUCACCCCA
rnacentral:tRNA from 1 species